AUGCAAAGAACCCACUUUCCCUGCUUCUUAGCAUAUAAAACACUCUGUUCCUUAAAAUUGCUAUGCUAAUAACUUUUAUUUCUUAAAUCCAAACUCCAGCAUUUUGA